UUGUGGUAUUGAUCUCAAUCCUUAAAUUGUCGUGGGAUCUGCUCACCUCAUAAAUGGUAUCCUCUGGGCCGCGAGGGAGACUGGUGUGCCCGGGCAUGAGGGCGGGUAAGAAACCGAAGAUAACCAAGCCACGGAAUUAGGGUAAUGUACAUGUACACCAGUCUCCCAGGUAAGUUCCCAGAUGUUGCCGAAACAUUUGGAGGUGUAUAAUGAAUAACUUCCCCAGAUGCUGAAAGUGAAGCGCCGUUCCGCCAAGAUGCAGAAACAAGCUCUCAAGGCAAAAGGGUUCUUACGUUAGCCUACAACUUCACAAGCCCUGGAGGUGUGUUUUUCUCAAGGAUGAGAAACAAGAAUUAGAGGCAAGAAUUGAAAAUCUAGGUCUGUUGCACAGUCAUUUCCUCAUUAACUAGCCAAUCACACAAGAGAGUUAACGGCGGGAUCUAUUUAUCCCCAGGGAAGCGCUCCCAAAUUAAUUUACGAAACUGGUCUGCGCCGUGACAGGAUUAAGAACUAUAUCUGUUAUAGGCCGCGUUGCAUUCACAAUCCAGGCGCAAUCAAUAACCGCUGGCCACUUACCUGAAACUGUUGCUGUGCUUCAGAGCUAAAAUUAGCUUUUGCGGGCGCCCAGUACCAACCUAAAAUGAGUCUAUUAUGUUAGCUAGAGCAUCCGUUGG
rnacentral:sRNA from 1 species